GAUGAACGCUGGCGGAAUGCUUUACACAUGCAAGUCGAACGGCAGCACGGGGCAACCUGGUGGCGAGUGGCGAACGGGUGAGUAAUACAUCGGAACGUGCCCAGUCGUGGGGGAUAACGUAGCGAAAGUUACGCUAAUACCGCAUACGAUCGAAGGAUGAAAGCGGGGGAUCGCAAGACCUCGCGCGAUUGGAGCGGCCGAUGGAAGAUUAGGUAGUUGGUGGGGUAAAGGCCCACCAAGCCGACGAUCUGUAGCUGGUCUGAGAGGACGACCAGCCACACUGGGACUGAGACACGGCCCAGACUCCUACGGGAGGCAGCAGUGGGGAAUUUUGGACAAUGGGCGCAAGCCUGAUCCAGCCAUUCCGCGUGCAGGAUGAAGGCCUUCGGGUUGUAAACUGCUUUUGUACGGAACGAAAAGGCUCUGGAUAAUACCUGGGGCUCAUGACGGUACCGUAAGAAUAAGCACCGGCUAACUACGUGCCAGCCGCCGCAGUAA
rnacentral:rRNA from 1 species